rnacentral:rRNA from 1 species
ACGGAGGAUCCAAGCGUUAUCCGGAAUCAUUGGGUUUAAAGGGUCCGUAGGCGGUUUAAUAAGUCAGUGGUGAAAUCUGGUCGCUCAACGAUCAAACGGCCAUUGAUACUGUUAGACUUGAAUUACUGGGAAGUAACUAGAAUAUGUAGUGUAGCGGUGAAAUGCUUAGAUAUUACAUGGAAUACCAAUUGCGAAGGCAGGUUACUACCAGUGGAUUGACGCUGAUGGACGAAAGCGUGGGGAGCGAACAGGAUUAGAUACCCUGGUAGUCCACGCCGUAAACGAUGGAUACUAGCUGUUGGGCGCAAGUUCAGUGGCUAAGCGAAAGUGAUAAGUAUCCCACCUGGGGAGUACGUUCGCAAGAAUG